UCUGGAGAGGUAUCUUUUCUCCUGCCCUGGAAAGGGCCAGCCCACCUGAGGGCAGGGUCGGAAGCCGCCUGCCAGGAGGAGCCCCAGGGAAGAGGGCAGCUCCAGGUACUCAACAGCUCCCCAGACCAGAAACAAACAUGCUACAAUCAGGGAGUUUGGCAAAUCCAGCCAGAGCCUCUGAGCCCAGGUGCCAGGCCCGCCUGGGACCCCAGCCUUCUGGGGAAGGGGUAGUUUCAGGCUGAAGCACCCCCUCUCUGCUCUCCUGCUCAGCGUCUGGGUUAGAGGCACUGCCUGACCCUAACAGGCCCCGCCCCUAGUUGGGGGAGUCAGCUGCUGCCUUUAGGGGUUGGGGGACAGAAGACAGGGACCAAUUAACAAAGGGAGCGAUUUGGGGGGCUAUUA
rnacentral:lncRNA from 1 species